UUGCACGCUGGCGGCAUGCUUUACACAUGCAAGUCGAACGGCAGCGCGGGCUUCGGCCUGGCGGCGAGUGGCGAACGGGUGAGUAAUGCAUCGGAACGUGCCCAGUAGUGGGGGUAAGCCGGGCGAAAGCCGGAUUAUUACCGCAAACGACCGGGGGGUGAAAGCGGGGGCCGGAAAGGCCUGCGCCAUUUGGGGCGGCCGAUGUCGGAUUAGCUAGUUGGUGGGGUAAAGGCUUACCAAGGCGACGAUCCGUAGCUGGUCUGAGAGGACGACCAGCCACACUGGGACUGAGACACGGCCCAGACUCCUACGGGAGGCAGCAGUGGGGAAUUUUGGACAAUGGGGGCAACCCUGAUCCAGCCAUGCCGCGUGCGGGAAGAAGGCCUUCGGGUUGUAAACCGCUUUUGUUCGGGAAGAAAUCCUCUGGGCUAAUACCCCGGGGGGAUGACGGUACCGGAAGAAUAAGCACCGGCUAACUACGUG
rnacentral:rRNA from 1 species